GCUAGCUACAGGCUUAACACAUGCAAGUCGAGGGGCAGCAUGGUCUUAGCUUGCUAAGGCCGAUGGCGACCGGCGCACGGGUGAGUAACACGUAUCCAACCUGCCGUCUACUCUUGGACAGCCUUCUGAAAGGAAGAUUAAUACAAGAUGGCAUCAUGAGUCCACAUGUUCACAUGAUUAAAGGUAUUCCGGUAGACGAUGGGGAUGCGUUCCAUUAGAUAGUAGGCGGGGUAACGGCCCACCUAGUCUUCGAUGGAUAGGGGUUCUGAGAGGAAGGUCCCCCACAUUGGAACUGAGACACGGUCCAAACUCCUACGGGAGGCAGCAGUGAGGAAUAUUGGUCAAUGGGCGAGAGCCUGAACCAGCCAAGUAGCGUGAAGGAUGACUGCCCUAUGGGUUGUAAACUUCUUUUAUAAAGGAAUAAAGUCGGGUAUGCAUACCCGUUUGCAUGUACUUUAUGAAUAAGGAUCGGCUAACUCCGUGCCAGCAGCCGCGGUAAUACGGAGGAUCCGAGCGUUAUCCGGAUUUAUUGGGUUUAAAGGGAGCGUAGAUGGAUGUUUAAGUCAGUUGUGAAAGUUUGCGGCUCAACCGUAAAAUUGCAGUUGAUACUGGAUAUCUUGAGUGCAGUUGAGGCAGGCGGAAUUCGUGGUGUAGCGGUGAAAUGCUUAGAUAUCACGAAGAACUCCGAUUGCGAAGGCAGCCUGCUAAGCUGCAACUGACAUUGAGGCUCGAAAGUGUGGGUAUCAAACAGGAUUAGAUACCCUGGUAGUCCACACGGUAAACGAUGAAUACUCGCUGUUUGCGAUAUACUGCAAGCGGCCAAGCGAAAGCGUUAAGUAUUCCACCUGGGGAGUACGCCGGCAACGGUGAAACUCAAAGGAAUUGACGGGGGCCCGCACAAGCGGAGGAACAUGUGGUUUAAUUCGAUGAUACGCGAGGAACCUUACCCGGGCUUAAAUUGCAGAUGAAUUACGGUGAAAGCCGUAAGCCGCAAGGCAUCUGUGAAGGUGCUGCAUGGUUGUCGUCAGCUCGUGCCGUGAGGUGUCGGCUUAAGUGCCAUAACGAGCGCAACCCUUGUUGUCAGUUACUAACAGGUUCUGCUGAGGACUCUGACAAGACUGCCAUCGUAAGAUGUGAGGAAGGUGGGGAUGACGUCAAAUCAGCACGGCCCUUACGUCCGGGGCUACACACGUGUUACAAUGGGGGGUACAGAGGGCCGCUACCACGCGAGUGGAUGCCAAUCCCAAAAACCUCUCUCAGUUCGGACUGGGGUCUGCAACCCGACUCCACGAAGCUGGAUUCGCUAGUAAUCGGGGAUCUGCCUCGGCGCGGUGGGUGCGUUCCCGGGCCUUGU
rnacentral:rRNA from 1 species